GGGCGCGAUCGUGACGGCGGCGGAGACUCCAAAAAUACUGAGUUGAGCCCUGGGUGUUGCUCGCUUUGGGGUAAGGCCUCAGCCCCGGGGGUCCCCGGGCUCUUUACGCAUCACAAGCCGGAGGAGGAGAUGGUUGUGCCCCCCCCGUUAUAGCGCCCGGCUGAGGGAUGGGCUGAAAAAAUCUGCCUCUCUGGACACAAAACUGACCACACAGAAGAGUUGCAAAUAGAAAUGAAGAAGAUGCAAACGGACUUUGAGGAGAAACUGCUUGGUGCACGUGAUGGAGAGGAUGAAAGAGCUCAAAGACACUGAGAGAAGAAU